rnacentral:tRNA from 1 species
CGGGGCGUAGUAUAGCGGUAGUACGCAUGCAUGGGGUGCAUGUAGUUGGAGUUCGACUCUCCACGUCCCGA